rnacentral:rRNA from 1 species
GAUGAACGCUGGCGGCGUGCCUAAUACAUGCAAGUCGAGCGAACGGACGAGAAGCUUUCUUCUCUGAUGUUAGCGGCGGACGUGUGAGUAACACGUGGAUAACCUACCUAUAAGACUGGGAUAACUUCGGGAAACCGGGGCUCAUACCGGCUAAUAUUUUGAACAGCAUGGUUCAAAAGUGAAAGACGGUCUUGCUGUCACUGAUAGAUGGAUCCGCGCUGCAUUAGCUAGUUGGUAAGGUAACGGCUUACCAAGGCAACGAUGCAUAGCUGGCCUGAGAGGGUGAUCGGCCACACUGGAACUGAGACACGGUCCAGACUCCUACGGGAGGCAGCAGUAGGGAAUCUUGCGCAAUGGGCGAAAGCCUGACGGAGCAACGCCGCGUGAGUGAUGAAGGUCUUCGGAUCGUAAAACUCUGUUAUUAGGGAAGAACAUAUGUGUAAGUAACUGUGCACAUCUUGACGGUACCUAAUCAGAAAGCCACGGCUAACUACGUG